rnacentral:rRNA from 1 species
CCUACGGGAGGCUGCAGUGGGGGAUAUUGCACAAUGGGGGAAACCCUGAUGCAGCGACGCCGCGUGGGGGAAGAAGGUCCUCUGGGUUGUAAACCCCUGUGACAGGGGAGGAAGAGGACGGUACCUGGGGAUGAAGCCCGGGCUAACUACGUGCCAGCAGCCGCGGUAAUACGUAGGGGGCGAGGGUUAUCCGGAAUUACUGGGGGUAAAGGGGGCGUAGACGGGAGGGGAAGGCAGGUGGGAAAUCUUACGGCCUAAACGGGAACCUGCACUUGAACUGGAAUUCCUGGAGUGAAGGAGGGGUAGGCGGAAUUCGUGGUGUAGCGGUGAAAUGCGUAGAUAUCAGGAGGAACACCGGUUGCGAAGGCGGCCUGCUGGACUGUGACUGACGCUGAGGCCCGAAAGCGUGGGGAGCAAACAGGAUUAGAUACCCCUGUAGUC